rnacentral:rRNA from 1 species
GAUGAACGCUGGCGGCGUGCCUAAUACAUGCCAGUCGAGCGAACGGACGAGGAGCUUGCUCCUCUGACGUUAGCGGCGGACGGGUGAGUAACACGUGGAUAACCGACCUAUAAGACUGGGAUAACUUCGGGAAACCGGAGCUAAUACCGGAUAAUAUAUUGAACCGCAUGGUUCAAUAGUGAAAGACGGUUUUGCUGUCACUUAUUGAGGUAUCCGCGCCGCAUUAGCUAGUUGGUAAGGUAACGGCUUACCAAGGCAACGAUGCGUAGCCGAUCUGAGAGGGUGAUCGGCCACACUGGAACUGAGACACGGUCCAGACUCCUACGGGAGGCAGCAGUAGGGAAUAUUCCGCAAUGGGCGAAAGCCUGACGGAGCAACGCCGCGUGAGUGAUGAAGGUCUUCGGAUCGUAAAACUCUGUUAUUAGGGAAGAACAAAUGUGUAAGUAACUAUGCCCGUCUUGACGGUACCUACUCAGAAAGCCACGGCUAACUACGUG